AUACGUAGGUGGCAAGCGUUGUCCGGAAUUAUUGGGCGUAAAGCGUGCGCAGGCGGUUUUGUAAGACAGAGGUGAAAUCCCCGGGCUCAACCUGGGAACUGCCUUUGGGACUGCAAGGCUAGAGUACGGCAGAGGGGGAUGGAAUUCCGCGUGUAGCAGUGAAAUGCGUAGAUAUGCGGAGGAACACCGAUGGCGAAGGCAAUCCCCUGGGCCUGUACUGACGCGCAUGCACGAAAGCGUGGGGAGCAAACAGGAUUAGAUUCCCGGGUGGUCCACGCCCUAAACGAUGUCAACUGGUUGUUGGGUCUUCAUUGACUCAGUAACGAAGCUAACGCGUGAAGUUGACCGCCUGGGGAGUACGGCCGCAAGGUUGAAACUAAAAUGAAUUGACGGGG
rnacentral:rRNA from 1 species